rnacentral:rRNA from 1 species
GGACUACAGGGGUAUCUAAUCCUGUUUGCUCCCCACGCUUUCGUGUUUCAGUGUCAGAAAUGAGCCAAGGAGCUGCCUUCGCCAUCGGUGUUCCUCUCGAUAUCUACGCAUUUUACCGCUACUCCGAGAAUUCCACUCCUCUCUCUCACCCUCUAGCAUACUAGUUUCCACUGCGAUUUCUUGGUUAGGCCAAGAGAUUUAACAACAGACUUAAUACGCCACCUACACACCCUUUACGCCCAGUAAUUCCGAAUAACGCUUGCACCCCUCGUAUUACCGCGGCUGCUGGCAC